UACGGAGGGUGCAAGCGUUGUCCGGAUUUAUUGGGUUUAAAGGGUGCGUAGGCGGCCCGUUAAGUCAGCGGUGAAAUCCCGGGGCUCAACCCCGGAACUGCCGUUGUUACUGGCGGGCUUGAGUUCGGUGAAGGCGGGCGGAACUGGCGGUGUAGCGGUGAAAUGCUUAGAUACCGCCAAGAACCCCGAUUGCGUAGGCAGCUCGCUGUGCCGAAACUGACGCUGAGGCACGAAAGCGUGGGGAGCGAACAGG
rnacentral:rRNA from 1 species